CCUACGGGAGGCAGCAGUGGGGAAUAUUGCACAAUGGGCGCAAGCCUGAUGCAGCCAUGCCACGUGUGUGAAGAAGGCCUUCGGGUUGUAAAGCACUUUCAGUCAGGAGGAAAGGUUAGUAGUUAAUACCUGCUAGCUGUGACGUUACUGACAGAAGAAGCACCGGCUAACUCCGUGCCAGCAGCCGCGGUAAU
rnacentral:rRNA from 1 species